CUCAAUACCGCACGAGCAAUCAUAAGUCGCGUAGGCUAACUCCGGAGUGCCGGCUUGUAGGGAGCGACCCUCACAAGCAUGUGCGAAUGAGCACAAAUGGCAAGCAAGCAUAGUCAUCGUCUCAAGAACUCGAUCAUCAUGUCUCUAACAUGGUAAUAGUCACUAGCAACCCAACAGUCUAGUUCAAUGUCCAAUUGCGCAAGUGAAGG
rnacentral:lncRNA from 1 species